rnacentral:rRNA from 1 species
GACGAACGCUGGCGGCGUGCUUAACACAUGCAAGUCGAACGCUGAAGCUCAGCUUUUGUUGGGUGGAUGAGUGGCGAACGGGUGAGUAACACGUGAGUAACCUGCCUCCUUCUUUGGGAUAACGCCCGGAAACGGGUGCUAAUACUGGAUAUUCACUGGUCUUCGCAUGGGGGUUGGUGGAAAGGGUUUUUCUGGUGGGGGAUGGGCUCGCGGCCUAUCAGCUUGUUGGUGGGGUGAUGGCCUACCAAGGCUUUGACGGGUAGCCGGCCUGAGAGGGUGACCGGUCACAUUGGGACUGAGAUACGGCCCAGACUACUACGGGAGGCAGCAGUGGGGAAUAUUGCACAAUGGGCGCAAGCCUGAUGCAGCGACGCCGCGUGAGGGAUGGAGGCCUUCGGGUUGUGAACCUCUUUCGCUAAUGGUCAAGCCGCAACAAUGGUUGUGGUGAGGGUAGUGGGUAAAGAAGCGCCGGCUAACUACGUG